AGUGGUUUCUCUGUCUAGUGUCUCCAACCUUCUUCCAUCGACGGAUCUUUCGUCUUCUUCUUCCCGAGCGAGAUGAUACAGUAACCGAUUCCCCCUCAUUAAGUGCUCCUUCAUCAAUCACACACGAUCUCCAUUCAAUGCGACCCUGAAUAGUGCAAGGCGGUGGAAGCUCUGCUAUAAAAAAGACUGGCCGCUCUUCCUCCUCCUCCGUACAAGUUCGCCUGCUCCGAUUUUGGGAGGCCAGGAACGUCGUGCCAUGCUCCUCUAGAUUCUAAGGCACUUGAAGAAGUUAUCUCAGAGGAAUGACCAGUCUGGAUCACUUUCUCCAUGUAUACGUGCGUAUAUGCUUCUCUGAUGCGUUUUAAACGAUUAAUGAAACCCAGAGGAAGUAUUGAGGAGAAGCAGGAGGUUAUUAAAGUUGAAAAGGAAAAGGCUGAGAAGGUUAUCAAAGAGUUAUCCACUAAAUAUGAUAAAGAACUUUCUGACUGUAAAGCCAAAUCAAAGCACCAAUUGCUGACCAUUCAAGAGGAUAAUGCUUCUCUGGUUUUCAAAUAGCAAACAUGAUGAUAAAGCUCAUGUUCUGCAGAUACUCACUAUCCGGGAGGAACAUGAGAAUAGGGAGUUAAAUCUCAAAGCUAAGCACGAUGAGGAACUGAUACAAGCUCAGCCUUAGGCCGAAACUGAAUUGAAAGAGGUACCAUACCAGGAGCACAAUUUGAUAGUUUAGGAAUAUGGAGACUCUGGUAUUCGAUUGGUAAAAUUCUCUCAUGCUGAGGAUAACAACAAUCAGGAACGAGCAUGACGUUCAACUGAAAGCAUUUAAGUGUCACUACGAAGAUGAUUACAAGAAGCUGCAAGACGAAUUAGAUCUUCAGAGAUUAAAAGAAAAGAGGCAAAGAGCUUUGUUGCAAAUGCAGUGGAGGGUUAUGAGUGAUAAAGCUCCAGAAGAGCAAGAAGUGAGCACUAGGAAGGUUACACCAGAAAUCAUUUAGUUUAUAGUGCCUUUUAAAGAAACAUAAAUGUAUAGUGAUUUCGAGUACUUAAUCAUCAUCUUGCAGGAAUACUGUGAGAUUUCAUUGAUCACUGUAUAAACAAUCCACAUUAAUUUGUCUCUUAGUUUUGUAUUUAGAACUGCAAUAAGGGAGUUUCUGUUCAGCUCUGGAUAUGAUGGGUCUUUAAAAACAUUACGUGUUUAAAGGAAGGGUAAGAAGAUUUUGGAGAAGAAAUGGAUCAGUUUGAAACAUAACGCCAAGCUGAGUUUUUUGCUUCUUCAGAUUGGGCAAGAACAAAAGGUUUACAGGGGGUUUCAGAGAAGAGUCAGGAUUUAGAAGGAACUAGGUUCAAACUCAUGUGUUCAUGACCAUUGGAGGAACAACAACGAAUAUGUCCUAAUGAGCUGGAGAGAAGGCUACAGAGUCUUAGGGAGACUAGACAAGAGGGGGAUAUAAAAGAGCUGCAGACUUCAAUGGAAGACGCUAAUAAAAGUCUUCAUGUGAUGGGCUGAAGAUUCUUGGUGGAAAGACACAGUGUAUGUAGGAUUUGAACAUAUACA